rnacentral:rRNA from 1 species
AUUGGACGCUGGCGGCAGGCCUAACACAUGCCAGUCGAGCGGAUGAAGGGAGCUUGCUCCUGGAUUCAGCGGCGGACGGGUGAGUAAUGCCUAGGAAUCUGCCUGGUAGUGGGGGAUAACGUCCGGAAACGGGCGCUAAUACCGCAUACGUCCUGAGGGAGAAAGUGGGGGAUCUUCGGACCUCACGCUAUCAGAUGAGCCUAGGUCGGAUUAGCUAGUUGGUGGGGUAAAGGCCUACCAAGGCGACGAUCCGUAACUGGUCUGAGAGGAUGAUCAGUCACACUGGAACUGAGACACGGUCCAGACUCCUACGGGAGGCAGCAGUGGGGAAUAUUGGACAAUGGGCGAAAGCCUGAUCCAGCCAUGCCGCGUGUGCGAAGAAGGUCUUCGGAUUGUAAAGCACUUUAAGUUGGGAGGAAGGGCAGUAAGUUAAUACCUUGCUGUUUUGACGUUACCAACAGAAUAAGCACCGGCUAACUUCGUG